rnacentral:lncRNA from 1 species
UGUGUGUAGAUUAGUUUAGAGAGAGUUCUUUCUUUUUGAAAUAAAUUUGAUCGCGAAAGAGUUCUUUUCUAUUUCGACUUUUUCGAUUUGCUGAAGAGAAAUUCCGCCAACGACGGUUCUCCGACUAUAGUUUGGCUUUAGCUAACCUUAAAUACCUUGUCCAUAGCCAUGGUGAACAUCUUAGCGUAAGCUGAGGUCCAAGGGUCUAGCUAAUGCUUCUAAUUCAAUAUGGCGUGUCCAUUGACCUUCGAGUUCUUUGUAAAUUUAUGAUCUAAGUCGGUCCGUCUUUUGGAGUUUGAUCAGC